UUCGUACACAUUGUGCUAAGGGAUGCGCCCACAAUCAAAAACAAGCAACAUAUUGGCUACAAUAAUUUGCAGAUUAUGUUACACUCCAUUCAUGCAGAUCACCGCUUUUUGAAAUAUUACAAUUUUUAGAAGGCAAUAUGGCGUGCAUAAGCCCAUGCUUACUGGAAAGGAACGCACACAUCACAAGUAGACAUGACGACGAGGAGUGAAGAUGCCAGCUCAUGAACACAGAAAUUAUGUGGUGGAAGGAACAAACCUACAAUGUUUUUCUACAAAAAGGAAAGAAGAAAACAUGCUAGCAAAGAUGACAAGUAAUAGGAACCAAGUUCCAAGGUGCCAAGUUCAGAAUACUUUGUGGUGUUGCCAAAAAAAGCAGCACAUCUCAAAUUUUCAUUAGUCAAUUUAAUAGCUGGUCCAUGGUUGUUCUGUUUGAUUGAGGCUAACAGCAAGAUCAACUUCGAGUAUGUUUUCGAGGUAUUUGAGGUUGUUUUUCACCCUCAUCAAUUAUGUUUGUUUUAGGCAGAUUCCAUGCGUCACGAAAAAUAUUUCACUCACCUAUGAAGCCAGAACCUAUAGUAAUCUUGUAACACAGAACUGAUCUGUCCACUUUGGAAAUGGGCAAUGAGGAGCUCUAGUUCAUUCAGUGUUCUUGCAACGACUUCUUCAGGCAGCAGCUGCUGUGGUGCUGGCAUGUGUCUAUUCUCUGCCACCACUUUGGCAACAUCGUUUAUGCAUACUGUUGGCUGACUAUUUGACACAUUAAUGCCACAACCUUUAAGUACAGAGGGAAAUAAUUAUUUAUAUUCACCAGCAUAUAGUAAAGGGACUAUGAACAGAC